rnacentral:rRNA from 1 species
CUACGUGCCAGCAGCCGCGGUAAUACGGAGGAUGCGAGCGUUAUCCGGAUUUAUUGGGUUUAAAGGGUGCGUAGGCGGCCUGUUAAGUCAGCGGUGAAAUCUAGGAGCUUAACUCCUAAAUUGCCGUUGAUACUGGCGGGCUUGAGUGUAGAUGAGGUAGGCGGAAUGCGUGGUGUAGCGGUGGAAUGCAUAGAUAUCACGCAGAACUCCAAUUGCGAAGGCAGCUUACUAAGGUACAACUGACGCUGAAGCACGAAAGCGUGGGUAUCAAACAGGAUUAGAUACCCUGGUAGUCCACGCAGUAAACGAUGAUAACUGGGCGUAUGCGAUAUACAGUAUGCUCCUAAGCGAAAGCGUUAAGUUAUCCACCUGGGGAGUACGCCGGCAACGGUGAAACUCAAAGGAAUUGACGGGGACCCGCACAAGCGGUGGAUGAUGUGGAUUAAUUCGAUGCAACGCGAAGAACCUUACCUGGUCUUGACAU